UACGAAGGGGGCUAGCGUUGUUCGGAAUUACUGGGCGUAAAGAGCGCGCAGGCGGUCGAUCAAGUCGCGUGUGAAAGCCCCCGGCUCAACUGGGGAGGGUCACGCGAUACUGAUCGACUCGAAGGCAGGAGAGGGUAGUGGAAUUCCCGGUGUAGUGGUGAAAUGCGUAGAUAUCGGGAGGAACACCAGUGGCGAAGGCGACUACCUGGCCUGUUCUUGACGCUGAGGCGCGAAAGCUAGGGGAGCAAACGGG
rnacentral:rRNA from 1 species